AAAAAGUGGUUAAGUGUGAGAAAAGGUUGUUGAGUGUAUUGAGAGUGGUGAAAAAAUGUUAUAAUUAGUAUUGAGAGUGGUAAAAAGUGAAAAGUAAGUGGUGGGGUAUAGUCCAAAAAUAGGUAGGAAGUUCUUUUGUGGACGUCCCAAAAAAAAGUAUGAAGUUCUUUCGUGGACGGAGAGAGUAUAAAAUAAAAAUAAAAAUAAAAAUAAAAAUAAAAAAUAAUCGGAUUUGCAUGUAUACCCGCAAUCCCGAUACGGGUACCUGAUACUCGAAAUUUUAUCAAAUUCAAUACCCUCACCG
rnacentral:lncRNA from 1 species